rnacentral:rRNA from 1 species
AAGCGGAGGAAAAGAAACUAACAAGGAUUCCCCUAGUAACGGCGAGUGAAGCGGGAACAGCUCAAAUUUUAAAUCUGGCUGCUUCGCAGUCCGAGUUGUAAUUUGAAGGCGUCUGUCGCAUGUGAGACGAUGGCACAAGUCCUCUGGAACGUGGCAUCGUAGAGGGUGAGAAUCCCGUCUCUGGUCGUUGUCUUGCAGGCACACAACAGGCGAUCCGAAGAGUCGAGUUGUUUGGGAUUGCAGCUCCAAAUGGGUGGUAAACUCCAUCUAAGGCUAAAUAUUGGCGAGAGACCGAUAGCGAACAAGUACCGUGAGGGAAAGAUGAAAAGAACUUUGAAAAGAGAGUAAAACAGUACGUGAAAUUGUUGAAAGGGAAACGCUUGAAGUCAGUCGUGCCGGCGGGGAUUCAGCGAACUUCGCGGAGUGAGCGUAUUUCCUCGCAUGGCAGGUCAGCGUCAGUUUUGCGCGUCGUGAAAGGGCUCGGGUAAGGUGACUCUCUUCGGGGAGUGUUAUAGACCUGAGCAGAUGCGAUGCGCGGGACUGAGGAUUGCAGCGGACACCCUUCGGGGCGCGGCGACCGAUCCCUGCUCUGUCACCUUCGUCCGAUAGCGUGCUAACGGUCGGGGGAGCGGCGGUUGCACCGGGUUGGCAAGCCGGCGGCUUCGCUAAGGAUGCUGGCGUAAUGGCUUUAAACGACCCGUCUUG